rnacentral:rRNA from 1 species
AGGACGAACGCUGGCGGCGUGCCUAAUACAUGCAAGUCGAGCGAACCGAUGAAGAGCUUGCUCUCAAAGGUGAGCGGCGGACGGGUGAGUAACACGUGGGCAACCUGCCUGCAAGAUCGGGAUAACUCCGGGAAACCGGGGCUAAUACCGGAUAAUGCAUUUCGCUGCAUGGCGGAAUGCUAAAAGGCGGCUUCGGCUGUCACUUGCAGAUGGGCCCGCGGCGCAUUAGCUAGUUGGGGAGGUAACGGCUCCCCAAGGCGACGAUGCGUAGCCGACCUGAGAGGGUGAUCGGCCACACUGGGACUGAGACACGGCCCAGACUCCUACGGGAGGCAGCAGUAGGGAAUUUUCCGCAAUGGGCGCAAGCCUGACGGAGCAACGCCGCGUGAGUGAGGACGGCUUUCGGGUUGUAAAACUCUGUUCUUCGGGAAGAACGGCGGUCGGGUGAAUAGCCCGAUUGCGUGACGGUACCGAAGGAGAGAGCCCCGGCUAACUACGUGCCAGCCGCCGC